rnacentral:rRNA from 1 species
AUUGAACGCUAGCGGGAUGCCUUACACAUGCAAGUCGAACGGAGUGGCGAACGGGUGAGUAAUGUAUCGGAACGUGCCCAGUAGCGGGGGAUAACUACGCGAACGCGUAGCCAAUACCGCAUACUAUUGGAGCGGCCGAUAUCGGGUUAGCUAGUUGGGUGGGUAACGGCGCACCAAGGCGACGAGCCGUAGCCGGUUUGAGAGGACGACCAGCCACACUGGGACUGAGAGACGGCCCAGACUCCUACGGGGAGCAGCAGUGGGGAAUGUUGGACAAUGGGGGGAACCCUGGGCCAGCCAACCCGCGUGUGCGAGGAAGGCCGUGGGGUUGUAGGGCACUUUUGGCAGGAAAGCGGUACCUGCAGAAUAAGCACCGGCUAACGACGUGCCAGCGGCGGCGGUAAUUC